AUUCCCUUAGUAACGGCGAGUGAAGAGGGAUGAGCUCAAAUUUGUAAUCUGACGCGUCGYGAGGCCGUCCGAGUUGUAGUCUAGAGAAGCGUCUUCCGUGCCGGACCGCGUACAAGUUCCCUGGAAAGGGACAUCGUAGAGGGUGAGAAUCCCGUGUCGCGACGCGGACCGCCGGUGCACUGUGAUGCGCUCUCGAAGAGUCGAGUUGUUUGGGAAUGCAGCUCAAAAUGGGUGGUAAACUCCAUCUAAAGCUAAAUACGGGCGAAAGACCGAUAGCGAACAAGUACCGUGAGGGAAAGAUGAAAAGCACUUUGGAAAGAGAGUUAAAUCAGUACGUGAAAUCGUUGAAAGGGAAACGCUUGGACUCAUGUCACGUCCACCGCGAAUUCAGCUUCCGUCUUCRCSGACGGAGGUGCACUUUCCGGUGGACGGGUCAGCAUCGAUUUCGAAAGUCAGACGGAGUCCCAUGGGAACGUGGCACUCCCUCACGGGAGGUGUGUUAUUUAGCCCGGGGACUCGGUGGCGGUUGGGAUCGAGGAACGCAGCGCGCCUUCACAGGCCGGGGGUAUU
rnacentral:rRNA from 1 species